rnacentral:rRNA from 1 species
CCGCCCGUCACAUCAUGGAAGUUACUUGUACCCGAAGUAGGUGCGCCAACCAGCAAUGGAAGCAGCCUCCGAAGGUAUGAGUGGUAACUGGGAUG